UACGGAGGGGGCAAGCGUUAUUCGGAAUCAUUGGGCGUAAAGGGCGCGUAGGCGGCUUGGCAAGUCGAAGGUGAAAUCCCCCGGCUCAACUGGGGAACUGCCUUCGAAACUGCCAGGCUAGAGUCCGGGAGAGGGUAGUGGAAUUCCCAGUGUAGCGGUGAAAUGCGUAGAGACUGGGAGGAACACCAGUGGCGAAGGCGGCUACCUGGACCGGUACUGACGCUGAGGCGCGAAAGAGUGGGGAGCAAACAGG
rnacentral:rRNA from 1 species